AAUAUUGCGCAAUGGAGGGAACUCUGACGCAGCGACGCCGCGUGAGCGAUGAAGGUCUUCGGAUCGUAAAGCUCUGUCCUUGGGGAAGAAGGGAGGCGUAAGUCUUCUUGACGGUACCCAUUGAGGAAGCCCCGGCUAACUACGUGCCACCACCCGCGGUAAUAAGUAGGGGGCGAGCGUUGUCCGGAAUUACUGGGCGUAAAGGGUGCGUAGGCGGCCCUUUAAGUCAGAUGUGAAAGCCCGCAGCUUAACUGCGGAAUUGCAUUUGAAACUGGAGGGCUUGAGUGUCGGAGAGGGUAGUGGAAUUCCCAGUGUAGCGGUGAAAUGCGUAGAUAUUGGGAGGAACACCAGUGGCGAAGGCGACUGCCUGGACGAUAACUGACGCUGAGGCACGAAAGCUAGGGGAGCAAAC
rnacentral:rRNA from 1 species